AUGUGGCGCUUCCGAACCCUGGUUCGGAGGCGGAAGCCGGUCUGGAUAGGGGUUAGUGAGGGGCUGGAGGGUGGGGGCAGAAGACGGAACCCCCUGUUGGAAAGGUGGGGUAUAAGUAGAAAGAAAGAAAGAAAGAAAGAAAGAAAGAAAGAAAGAGAAAGAAAGAAAGAAAGAAAGAAAGAAAGAAAGAAAGAAAGAAAGAAAGAAAGAAAGAAAGAAAGAAAGAAAGAAAGAAAGAAAGAAAUGAUAUAUUUGAAUAACUGAAAGGAAAGUAAACCCCAUCAGGGCUGCUUUGUGAAAGAAAUGAUGCAGGGACAUUCUCCUUUGUAAGGAGGAAUGGACUAUUUAAUUGCUACCCUUUCACUUCAAAGCCCACCUUCAACAUGGAACUGUCUUCCCACACCAGCCCCAAUUCUCCCCCUGUCUUGUGUGGGUUAUUUUAAAAGCAAAAUUUGGAAGUGCUGCUGGCAUGACGCACCUUGGAAUGGUAUGUGACCCAGAUGGGAACGCCAACUAUUUAAAAAUCUCCCAGGUCCACCUCCCAAAUUGCUUAAUAUGGGAUUUCUGAAUCAGUUAAUCUGAAUUUUACCCCUUGUCCAGAAGCAACAACAUCAACUUGUGCUCUGUGCAAAGGCUAAUCCCGAGGAGGAGGACAUGAGACAGCUCGUGGGGCAAACUUGAUCGCUCUUGGAAAACAUAGUCAAAAAAGUUCUCAUCAACAGCUCAGGCUCACUGCCAUCUGUGAGAAAAGGCGACACUUCUGUUGUUGUUCUGAUGCUAGCCAGUUGACUUAUUUCAAUGGAAGCGACCAGCCCAGUUCUUGCCAUAUCAGAUAAAAUUUAGUACAGUGGUGCCUCGCAAGACGAUUUUAAUUUGUUCAGCAAAAAUCGUCGUGAAAAAAUCGUCUUGCGCGGUUCCCUAUGCAUCGGUCUCAAAAAAAAAAGUCUUGCGAAGCAUCGGUCUCAAAAAAAAAAAAACGUCUUGCAAAGCACAGUCAUAGAAAAAAUGUCUUGCGAGGCACCAUAGUGAUAGCAAAAAACAAUUGUCUUGCGGGUUUUCCGUCCUGCGAGGCAAUCGUCUAGCAAGGCACCACUGUUAUAUGGUAUAUGUGAGGCAGGGGAACAAUCGGGGACUACAGUUUCCAGAAUUCUCCAGCCGUUGUGGGCAGUAGCUGUGCCAGCUGGUAGAUCUGGCAAGUUGUAGUCCUCCAAAAGCAAUUCUCUCAGGCUCUGGGCCAUAAUCUGGGAAUCUAAACUGCUCUAUUUAUUUUGCAGAUGACAUGGUACAGAGGAUAGUUUAGAACUACAGAACUGGAAGGGACCCUAUGGAUCAUCGAGUCUAGCCCCUACCUGUCAAGAAGGCCCAGUGGGGAAUCAAACUCCCAACCUCUCGCUCUGCAGCCAGAUGCCUAAACCUCUGAGCUUGACAGGGAGAAGAAAUGCUGGAACCUUACCUUUCGUUAGAAACAAAUGGCAUGAAUAAAUUAGAAGGGUUUAUGAACUGUACA
rnacentral:lncRNA from 1 species